rnacentral:rRNA from 1 species
UACAGAGGUCCCAAGCGUUGUUCGGAUUCAUUGGGCGUAAAGGGUGCGUAGGCGGCGCGGUAAGUCGGGUGUGAAAUCUCGGAGCUUAACUCCGAAACUGCAUUCGAUACUGCCGUGCUUGAGGACUGGAAAGGAGACUGGAAUUUACGGUGUAGCGGUGAAAUGCGUAGAUAUCGUAAGGAAGACCAGUGGCGAAGGCGGGUCUCUGGACAGUUCCUGACGCUGAGGCACGAAGGCCAGGGGAGCAAACGGG